ensembl:lncRNA
GGUGAUGGUGGUGAUGUGGUGAUAAGGUGAUGGUGGUGAUGGUGGUGGUAAGGUGAUGGUGGUGAUAAGGUGAUGGUGGUGAUGGGGUGAUGGUGGUGAUGGUGGUGAUGGUGGUGAUAAGGUGAUGGUGGUGAUAAGGUGAUGGUGGUGAUGGUGGUGAUGGUGGUGAUAAGGUGAUGGUGGUGAUAAGGUGAUGGUGGUGAUAAGGUGAUGGUGGUGAUGGGGUGAUGGUGGUGAUGGUGGUGAUAAUGUGAUGGUGAUAAUGUGAUGGUGGUGAUGGUGGUGAUGGCGGUGAUAAGGUGAUGGUGGUGAUGGGGUGAUGGUGGUGAUGGUGGUGAUGGGGUGAGGGAGGUGAUGGUGAUGAUAAGGUGAUGGUGGUGAUGGUGGUAUUAAGGUGACGGUGGUGAUGGGGUGAUGGUGGUGAUGGGGUGAGGGUGGUGAUGGUGGUGAUGGGGUGAGGGUGGUGAUGGUGGUGAUGGGGUGAGGGUGGUGAUGGUGGUGAUGGUGGUGAGAAGGUGAUGGUGGUGAUGGGGUGAGGGUGGUGAUGGUGGUGAUGGGGUGAGGUUGGUGAUGGUGGUGAUGGGGUGAGGGUGGUGAUGGUGGUGAUAAGGUGAUGGUGGUGAUAAGGUGAUGGUGGAGGUGGUGAGUUUCUGCAUGUGUAUACAGUACAAUAGACCACGUGUCAUGUGUUUCUUUCAUUUAACAUGUAGCAGGGUGUCACAUGUUCCAUUGU